UAUAUAUAUAUAUAUAUAUAUAUAUAUGAUUAUACUCUGCAUCACAUGCACCACAUGACUUUGGAUCAUACCAAUCAUCUCAUCUUCCUCCUGCAGGGUGGCCUAUCCAUCAUAUGCUCAUCUUGGUGAUGGGCCCAUACGAAGAAGAUGAGAUGAUUAGUGUGGUGUAUGGCCACAUUGGUGCACAUGGUUAUGAUAUAAUUUCUCUUUAUCGGGUUGAUCUAUGGAGCUUAGUUUACUUUUUAUGGAUUGGACGGAACAUGUUGACUAGGGGUGGUAAUUGGAUUAGGACGGUCAUAAACAUAUUGGAUCAAAUAUGGGUCGGAUCAAAAAAUUCUAAUUCUGAGCUCAAUCUAUUUAUUGAAAAAGUCACAAUUUACAACCUAAACAUGAUAUAUUUAAUAAAUAGGUAAUCCGAUCUGACCUGUUUAUUAAAUAGAUACUCUGUUAAUCUAAUCCGAUCUGAUCUGUUUAAUCUAUUUAUUAAAUAGGUAACCUAUUAACCUGAUCCGAUCUGUUUAAUCUGUUUAUUAAAAAGACAACUUGCUAACCCAUACUAAAAAAUUCUAAUUGGUUGUAGUCAUCUCUAAUACAAUAAUUAACAUAUAAGGAAGGGAGCAAAUAGAGCAGACAAAAU
rnacentral:lncRNA from 1 species